rnacentral:tRNA from 1 species
GUCUCCGUAGCCUAAUAGGAUAGGCUCUUGAUUACGAAUUAAGUAUAUGCAGGUUCAAGUCCUGUCGAAGAUUCCA